GGGGAUUUAGCUCAGUGGUAGAGCGCUUGCCUAGGAAGCGCAAGGCCCUGGGUUCGAUUCCCAGCUCCG
rfam:Rattus norvegicus chromosome 15, whole genome shotgun sequence.